UGCCCAGCAACUCCUAACCCUACCUACCUCCUCGUGGUACCGGCCGGAAACUACGAGCAACCUUGGAGAAGAUCGGGUAACCAACCCCGGUGGGAACUUUGGCCGUAGACUGACAGGAAAGG
rfam:Aedes albopictus isolate Foshan contig38123, whole genome shotgun sequence.